rnacentral:rRNA from 1 species
GCAUAUCAAUAAGCGGAGGAAAAGAAACCAACAGGGAUUGCCCUAGUAACGGCGAGCGAAGCGGCAACAGCUCAAAUUUGAAAUCUGGCUCCUUUUGGGGUCCGAGUUGUAAUUUGCAGAGGAUGCUUUUGGCGAGGCGCCUUCCGAGUUCCCUGGAACGGGACGCCAUAGAGGGUGAGAGCCCCGUACGGUCGGAUUGCCGAGCCUCUGUAUAGCUCCUUCAACGAGUCGAGUAGUUUGGGAAUGCUGCUCUAAAUGGGAGGUACAUCUCUUCUAAAGCUAAAUACCGGCCAGAGACCGAUAGCGCACAAGUAGAGUGAUCGAAAGAUGAAAAGCACUUUGAAAAGAGGGUUAAAUAGCACGUGAAAUUGUUGAAAGGGAAGCGCUUGUGACCAGACUUGUGCCCGGCGUUUAGCUAGCGUUCUCGCUAGUCGACUUCGCCGGGCUCAGGCCAGCAUCAGUUCGUCGUCGGGGAGAAAGACGGUGGGAAUGUAGCUCCCUCGGGAGUGUUAUAGCCUGCCGUGUAAUACCCUUCUUCGGACUGAGGUUCGCGCAUCUGCAAGGAUGCUGGCGUAAUGGUCAUCAGCGACCCGUCUUGAAACACGGACC